rnacentral:rRNA from 1 species
AUACGGAGGGUGCAAGCGUUGUUCGGAAUCACUGGGCGUAAAGGGCGCGCAGGCGGUUUGGUAAGUCAGAUGAGAAAGCCCACGGCUCAACCGUGGAAGUGCAUUUGAAACUGUCAGACUUGAGUACUAGAGGGGAAAGUGGAAUUCCCGGUGUAGAGGUGAAAUUCGUAGAUAUCGGGAGGAAUACCGGUGGCGAAGGCGACUUUCUGGCUAGAUACUGACGCUGAGGCGCGAAAGCGUGGGGAGCGAACAGGAUUAGAUACCCCAGUAGUCC